CCAUAAAAGAUGUAACAGAUGCAAUCUGUAAAACAAGGACGAUUAACCCUUGAUCUCCUGAACCGAAUUCAUCCUCACCUCGUCUUUUGUCUGCCCUUCCCAUAUUUACAGGGCUCUUUGGU
rnacentral:sRNA from 1 species